UACGUAGGGUGCAAGCGUUAAUCGGAAUUACUGGGCGUAAAGCGUGCGCAGGCGGUUUUGUAAGUCUGUCGUGAAAUCCCCGGGCCUCAACCUGGGAAUUGGCAUUUGUGACUGCACGGCUAGAGUGUGUCAGAGGGGGGGUAGAAUUCCACGGUGUAGCAGUGAAAUGCGUAGAUAUGUGGAGGAAUACCGAUGGCGAAGGCAGCCCCCCUGGGAUAA
rnacentral:rRNA from 1 species